rnacentral:misc_RNA from 1 species
AAGUCGUAACAAGGUUUCCGUAGGUGAACCUGCGGAAGGAUCAUUACAUUCAGUAGCCUAGCUACUUGUUUACACCCUUGUUUUUUGCGUACCUAUUGUUUCCUCGGUGGGCUUGCCUGCCGGUUGGACAAACCUUAUAACCUUUUUAAAUCUUCAAUCAGCGUCUGAAUUAUACAUAAUAAUUACAACUUUCAACAACGGAUCUCUUGGUUCUG